AGUGGACCAACUGUCAUCAAUAUCUACUACUAGGACUCAUUUAGACCCAUGUUUAUGUAUCAAUCAAACUUCAGGAGCCUCACUGCGAGCAAUAAUAUCAUCUCAAAUCAAAAGAUCAGUCACACAACUAUAGCAUCAUGACAAUCACUGAUGUUUGAAUAAAAAUUCAAGUGAUCUCUCAUAUGGUAACUCUUAGUGCUAGUUGUUCUUUAACAACCACCCACACUCAUCGUCCUGUGUCUCUAC
rnacentral:lncRNA from 1 species